UUUAAACUUUACAAUAUCGCUCAGGAACUUAUAAAUUUAAUUUUAAUAUCUAUAAGUACCCUAAUAACAACAUUUUAGCAGACUGACGGCAGACUGACGGCAGAUUGAAUUAGAGGUUUACAGCAGAUUGGUGCCAACUGUUUAUCCAUUGUGCCCACAUUCUGACGGCAGAGUCUGGCAACAUUAUUUGAUAGCAGACUGAUGCCAGAAACAAAGCAGAUCUGACGUACAUAGUCUAGUGAUAGAUUGGCGGCAAAAACGUAUCAGAUCCUGACGUACGCAGUCUGGCGGCAGAUUGACGGCAGAAAUACAACAGAUUCUGCAAUGCGCAGUUUGGUACCAGAAUGACGGCAGAAACGUAACAGAUCCUGACGUACGCAGUCUGGCGGCAGAUUGACGGUAGAAAUACAGCAGAAUCUGCAAUGCGCAGUCUGGCACCAGAAUGACGGCAGAAACGUAACAGAUCCUGCCGUUCACAGCCUGACAGCAGACUGACAAAACGAGACAGCCAAUCAGAUUCACAAUGGUGUUUAUCGUAAAUGGCGGAACACGAAGGCGACGAUGUUUCUUCUCAUAGCCUCAGGAAGCGGCGACACACGAUGACUUUGAGACGAUGUUGGAGCAAC